AUUGAACGCUGGCGGCAUGGCUAAUGCAUGCAAGUCGAACGAAAGCCCUUCGGGGCGAAAGUGGCGAAAGGGCGAGUAAUACGAUCGAACGUACCCCAAGGUGGAGGAUAGUGUCGGGAAACUGACGGUAAUACUCCAUGUGCUCUUCGGAGGAAAGGUUUGGCGCCUCGGGAGCGGCGAUCGUCCUAUCAGGUAGUUGGUGAGGUAAUGGCUCACCAAGCCGAAGACGGGUAGCGGGUGUGAGAGCAUGACCCGCCGCAUCGGGACUGAGACACUGCCCGGACUCCUACGGGAGGCUGCAGCGACGAAUCUUCCGCAAUGGGCGCAAGCCUGACGGAGCAAUGCCGCGUGUGGGACGAAGCGUCUUCGACGUGUAAACCACUGUCAGAAUCUAGGAACACUGACCAGAUUCAAAGGAAGGGCCGGCUAACCUCGUGCCAGCAGCCGCG
rnacentral:rRNA from 1 species